rnacentral:tRNA from 1 species
GUGGGGAUGUAGCUCAGUGGCAGAGCACUCACCCAUUAUACAUGAGGUCCUGGGUUCAAUUUUCAGCACCACA